GCCAGGGCGGUGUAGUGGUUUGAGCACUGGACUAUGACUCUGGAGACCAGGCUUCGAUUCCCAGCUCAGCCA